rnacentral:rRNA from 1 species
AACGUAGGUGGCGAGCGUUAUCCGGAUUUACUGGGCGUAAAGGGUGUGCAGGCGGGCUGUUAAGUGGUGUAUGAAAUAUCCCGGCUCAACCGGGAGAGGUUAUGCCAGACUGGCAGUCUAGAGAGCGAGAGAGGGACGUGGAAUUCCGGGUGUAGUGGUGAAAUGCGUAGGGAUCCGGAGGAACCCCAGAGGCGAAGGCGGCGUCCUGGCUCGCAUCUGACGCUCAGACACGACAGCAUGGGGAGCGAACGGG